rnacentral:rRNA from 1 species
UACAGAGGGGGCAAGCGUUGUUCGGAAUUACUGGGCGUAAAGGGCGCGUAGGCGGCCUUCUAAGUCGAACGUGAAAUCCCCGGGCUCAACCUGGGAACUGCAUUUGUGACUGUAGAGCUGGAGUGCGGCAGAGGGGGAUGGAAUUCCGGCGUGGUAGCAGUGAAAUGCGUAGAUAUGCGGAGGAACACCGAUGGCGAAGGGCAACUCCCCUGGGCCUGCACUGACGCUCCAGUG